UGGGGAAUUUUGGACAAUGGGCGAAAGCCUGAUCCAGCAAUGCCGCGUGUGUGAAGAAGGCCUUCGGGUUGUAAAGCACUUUUGUCCGGAAAGAAAUCCUUGGCUCUAAUACAGUCGGGGGAUGACGGUACCGGAAGAAUAAGCACCGGCUAACUACGUGCCAGCAGCCGCGGUAAUACGUAGGGUGCAAGCGUUAAUCGGAAUUACUGGGCGUAAAGCGUGCGCAGGCGGUUUGCUAAGACCGAUGUGAAAUCCCCGGGCUCAACCUGGGAACUGCAUUGGUGACUGGCAGGCUAGAGUAUGGCAGAGGGGGGUAGAAUUCCACGUGUAGCAGUGAAACGCGUAGAGAUGUGGAGGAAUACCGAUGGCGAAGGCAGCCCCCGUGGGCCAAUACUGACGCUCAUGCACGAAAGCGUGGGGAGCAAACAGGAUUAGAUACCCUGGUAGUCCACGCCCUAAACGAUGUCAACUAGUUGUUGGGGAUUCAUUUCCUUAGUAACGUAGCUAACGCGUGAAGUUGACCGCCUGGGGAGUACGGUCG
rnacentral:rRNA from 1 species